rnacentral:rRNA from 1 species
AGGGUUUGAUCCUGGCUCAGAUUGAACGCUGGCGGCAUGCCUUACACAUGCAAGUCGAACGGCAGCAUAGGAGCUUGCUCCUGAUGGCGAGUGGCGAACGGGUGAGUAAUAUAUCGGAACGUACCCUAGAGUGGGGGAUAACGCAGCGAAAGCUGCGCUAAUACCGCAUACGAUCUACGGAUGAAAGUGGGGGAUCGCAAGACCUCAUGCUCCUGGAGCGGCCGAUAUCUGAUUAGCUAGUUGGUAGGGUAAAAGCCUACCAAGGCUUCGAUCAGUAGCUGGUCUGAGAGGACGACCAGCCACACUGGAACUGAGACACGGUCCAGACUCCUACGGGAGGCAGCAGUGGGGAAUUUUGGACAAUGGGCGCAAGCCUGAUCCAGCAAUGCCGCGUGAGUGAAGAAGGCCUUCGGGUUGUAAAGCUCUUUUGUCAGGGAAGAAACGGUGAGGGCUAAUAUCCUUUGCUAAUGACGGUACCUGAAGAAUAAGCACCGGCUAACUACGUGCCAGCAGCCGCGGUAAUACGUAGGGUGCAAGCGUUAAUCGGAAUUACUGGGCGUAAAGCGUGCGCAGGCGGUUGUGCAAGACAGAUGUGAAAUCCCCGGGCUCAACCUGGGAAUUGCAUUUGUGACUGCACGGCUAGAGUGUGUCAGAGGGGGGUAGAAUUCCACGUGUAGCAGUGAAAUGCGUAGAGAUGUGGAGGAAUACCGAUGGCGAAGGCAGCCCCCUGGGAUAACACUGACGCUCAUGCACGAAAGCGUGGGGAGCAAACAGGAUUAGAUACCCUGGUAGUCCACGCCCUAAACGAUGUCUACUAGUUGUCGGGUCUUAAUUGACUUGGUAACGCAGCUAACGCGUGAAGUAG